rnacentral:rRNA from 1 species
UACGGGGGGGGCAAGCGUUGUUCGGAAUUACUGGGCGUAAAGGGCGUGUAGGCGGUUGGAUAAGUCAGCUGUGAAAACCACGGGCUUAACUCGUGGCCUGCAGUUGAGACUGUCUGGCUUGAGUGUGGGAGAGGAGAGUGGAAUUCCUGGUGUAGCGGUGAAAUGCGUAGAUAUCAGGAGGAACACCGGUGGCGAAGGCGGCUCUCUGGACCACAACUGACGCUGAGGCGCGAAAGCUAGGGGAGCAAACAGG